rnacentral:rRNA from 1 species
UACGUAGGGACCAAGCGUUGUCCGGAUUUAUUGGGCGUAAAGAGCUCGUAGGCGGCUAUUCGCGUCGGAUGUGAAAGCUCGGGGCUCAACCCUGAGAGGCCAUUCGAUACGGGAUAGCUAGAGGCAGGUAGGGGAAAGUGGAAUUCCUGGUGUAGCGGUGAAAUGCGCAGAUAUCAGGAGGAACACCGGUGGCGAAGGCGGCUUUCUGGGCAUUAACUGACGCUGAGGAGCGAAAGCAUGGGGAGCGAACAGG